rnacentral:rRNA from 1 species
UAACAAGGAUUCCCUUAGUAACUGCGAGUGAAGUGGGAAAAGCUCAAAUUUAAAAUCUGACGGGCUUUGGCUUGUCCGAGUUGUAACCUAGAGAAGUGCUGCCUGUGCUGGACCAUGUAUAAGUCUCCUGGAACGGAGUGUCACAGAGGGUGAGAAUCCCGUCUUUGACAUGGACUGCCAGUGCAUUGUGGUGUGCUCUCAAAGAGUCGAGUUGUUUGGGAAUGCAGCUCUAAAUGGGUGGUAAAUUCCAUCUAAAGCUAAAUAUUGGCGAGAGACCGAUAGCGAACAAGUACCGUGAGGGAAAGAUGAAAAGAACUUUGGAAAGAGAGUUAAAUAGUACGUGAAAUUGUUGAAAGGGAAACAUUUGAAGUCAGUUGUGUGGGCUGGGGAUCAACCUGGCUUUUUUGCUUGGGUGUAUUUCCUGGUUGACAGGUCAACAUCAGUUAUAACUGCUAGAAAAAAGCCGAGGAAAUGUGGCACCUCUGGGUGUGUUAUAGUCCUUGGUUGUAUUGUGGUGGUUGGGACUGAGGCAUGCAGCACACCGCAAGGCUGGGCUUUGGCCACGUUUGUGCUUAGGAUGUUGGCAUAAUGGCUUUAAGUGAC